rnacentral:rRNA from 1 species
UACGUAGGGUGCGAGCGUUGUCCGGAAUUAUUGGGCGUAAAGGGCUCGUAGGCGGUUUGUCGCGUCGGGAGUGAAAUCCACUGGCUUAACUGGUGGCUUGCUUUCGAUACGGGCAGACUGGAGGUAUGCAGGGGAGAACGGAAUUCCUGGUGUAGCGGUGAAAUGCGCAGAUAUCAGGAGGAACACCGGUGGCGAAGGCGGCGCACUGGACCACAACUGACGCGGAGGCGCGAAAGCUAGGGAGCAAACAGG